rnacentral:rRNA from 1 species
AUUGAACGCUGGCGGCAGGCCUAACACAUGCAAGUCGGACGGUAGCACAGAGAGCUUGCUCUCGGGUGACGAGUGGCGGACGGGUGAGUAAUGUCUGGGGAUCUGCCCGAUAGAGGGGGAUAACCACUGGAAACGGUGGCUAAUACCGCAUAACGUCGCAAGACCAAAGAGGGGGACCUUCGGGCCUCUCACUAUCGGAUGAACCCAGAUGGGAUUAGCUAGUAGGCGGGGUAACGGCGCACCUAGGCGACGAUCCCUAGCUGGUCUGCGAGGAUGACCAGGCACACUGGAACUGAGACACGGUCCAGACUCCUACGGUAGGCAGCAGUGGGGAAUAUUGCACAAUGGGCGCAAGCCUGAUGCAGCCAUGCCGCGUGUAUGAAGAAGGCCUUCGGGUUGUAAAGUACUUUCAGCGGGGAGGAAGGCGAUGUGGUUAAUAACCGCAUUGAUUGACGUUACCCGCAGAAGAAGCACCGGCUAACUCCGUGCCAGCCGCCGCGGUAA